ensembl:snoRNA
AGGCUCUUGUCAUUUAAAAGUGUGAUGAUUGGGGUUUCACACUUGUGCAUAAGAUGUGCCUCCCACAAACCUGGUUACGAGUUGGCACAUUACCUGUCUGAUG